rnacentral:lncRNA from 1 species
UUGUUGCAACCUUAGUCACCACUAAAAAUCACUCAUAACCUUUAGUGGCAAUAUUUUUGGGAUUUUGUGGCGACUUUUAUCGCCGCUAAAGGUUUAGUUCUUUUGUAGCGAAUCCAAGUUGGCAACGCUUAGGUGGAGGGAUUAGUCCUAUGUGGCUUGCCAUGUCACUAAAAAUUUAGGUAGUUAACUCUUGAGGUAUUUGUGGUCUCUUGGGAUAACAACGGGAGUAUUUUUUAUCCCAAAAUGUAAUGGAGGGUAUAAGCGAUCUAUUUUGCAUAGUUCAGGGGUAUUUUUGACCCUUUUCCGUAUUUUUUUUCAUACCCAAUUCCCAUCCACCCCACUAUACCUCCACCAAAAUCCUCUCCCCCCAUCAUAUCCUAUUUUAAUGCUUAUUCGAUUUCACCAUUUUCAUUAUAUUUUAUUUUUCUAUUCGGCUUUGUUGGUGGUUGAUAAAAUUGAUGAUUAAGUUUAAAAAUAAAAUAUAAUGAUUGAUUUGUUGGCGUGGGGUGACAAAGAAGCGGGAAUUGAAGGUGGUGGAGAAGAAAAAAUCGAUAUCGACAAUGGUGGUAGUGAUAUUUGGUGGUGGGUUUGUACAUUUUGCUGGUGAUGAUGUAAUUUUGGUGAUAAGUUUGUUUAUGAGUGUCAAAUUUUGUUGUGGAUCUUUCUAAUUUUGAUGGGGAUAUUGGUGAUAUAUUGAUAGUAUAUUUCGAUAGUGGAUUUGUUCGUAGGUGGUGAAAUUUAUGGUGACUAUUUUGAUUUUCAUUGUGAAAUAUAUAGAUUUGGUAGUAAUAUGGCGGCAAUGGUAGUGGUUUCAUGGUGGUGUUCAUUGAAGAAGAAACAAUUGAAUGAUAUGGAGAAUUUUAGUCAAAAUUUGACAUGACAUCCAAUAUGACAGUGACAUGACAUUGAUGUGAUGCAAGUGUGAUACACCUCUCAAUGUGAGAGUGGUGCUACACGUCUUAGGGGGUAAAAAAAUUCAUUAUUUAGUAGUAGAAGUGUGUAAUAGGUCACUACAUUAAUUUAAGUGUGUAACUGACUUUUCGAGACAAGUUCAGAGAUAAAUUUAUGUCUUUUCCCUAUAUAUAACUAUAUGUCACCACCAUCAACUACUAUAUCAACUACUCGAAUUAGUGUUAGAUACUCACAUCAUUAGCCACUAUCAAUAACACCAUUAACAACCAAAUUAAUCCCAAAUCAGCAAUUGACACCAAUAACUAUUAAUCACGAUAUAAUUAUUUAAAAUUAUUUUAGUAGUGUAGUAUUAAAUUAUUUUUAUAUUUAUCGAUUUAAAAAUAAACCAAACUUUUAUAUAUUUUAAUAUUAAAAAUAUAAAUAGUAUGAAUUAUAAAAUAUUCACAUCUUAAGAGUUAAAGACUAACAUCUUAAUUAAUACAGUACUUAAACGUGUAUUUAGAAGAAAAGAUGGGUGACGUGGCAAGGUAGUAGCUAAGCAGUGACAACAACUACAAGUAUACCAAUUUUGACAGUCAAAAUGAAAUAUGUUGAAAGUCAAAAACGCCAGAAUCCCUCCCUAUCAUAUUCCGAUAUAUUUUGAUAGGUACUUUAUUACUCUACUUAGUAAUAGUCUAGAAAUCUAUUUCAUUAGAUUAAUAAGUAAUAGAAAUAAUUAAAAUAAACCAUAUUUCAAGUUCAAUGAUUCUUUCUUUUAACUUCUAAUUUUAAUAUAGAAAAUAAAAAAUAUAAGAAGGUCAAAAGUUGAAGAAAAACUCUUCGGUUAGGGCAUCUCCAAUCCUGCCCUCUAUUUUACUCUUCAAAUAUAGAAUUUUCUAUUUUUUCAGACAACCAACUUCAACCCAAUUCUCUAUUUUACUCUCUAAAAAAGAAUCUUCUUCUCUCUCUCCUCAAUAUUAUAUUAUUAUUUCUAUUUCAUUUACAUUUCCUUAUUUCAUAAUAUAAAUCAUUUCUCUCUUUUUUUCCAAAUAGUCACUUUAAUAAUUUUUACGUAAUAUAAAAUUUUAUUUUUUCAAAUUCAUUAUUUAAUAUAAAAUUUUAUUUUAUUCUAAAUUUCUAAAUAACAUAAAUUGCAAGUUAAUAUAUAAUAUACAAAUUAAUGGACAAUUCAAAUAAAAGUGAAAUCAUGAAUGAAAUACAAUUACAUAAAUCAACGAGCACAACCGCAAUCACCACCACAACAAUUCUUUGGAUCAUACACUAAUUUUUUUCCAAAUAUUGUUAAAUCAGGAAAUGACCUACCGAAUUACUAAAUUAUUGUUGCGAUAAAAUUAUUAUGUAUUGUUAUCUUAUAUUUAAAUAAUUAUAUUACGUAUUAUAUUUUUAAAUUAAAAUUUCCAUCUUAUCAUUUUACUUUUGUGCAUUCUUCAUAGUGAAAAUUAAUAAUAAUAUCAAAUUAUAUUAAAGUGAUGAAAAUUUAAAAAAAUUGAAAUAUUAUUAAUUUGGGAUGAAAGUAGUGUAUAUCAAAUAAUAUAUUUUUAAAAAUGUCAUACUACAUUUAAAAAGAAUUACGAAUGUUAGAUAUUUAAUUAAUGACCUUAUAUUAAAAAUAAUAUGUUAAUUACAAAAUAAUAUAAAUAUAAUAAAAUAAUGAAAAAGUGAAAUGGAGAGUGUGAAUAGUAGUUCUCCAAAUUUGGAGAACUACUAUUCACCUCUCUAUAAAUGAAGAAUAGAGAGUUAAUUAAAGAGUAGUUGGAGAGUCCAUUCUCUAUUUUACUCUCCAAAUAUAGAGAAUGGAGAGUAAAAUAGAGGUGGGUUGGAGAUGGUCUUAGAAGAAAGAACCUUUCUAAAAACGAAAAAGGCUCAAAAAUACCCCUAAACUAUCAGAAAUAGCUCAGAUUUACCCUUAAACUAUAUUCUGGCUCAAAAUUACCCUUUCCGUCAAAGUAUUGGGUCAUACUUACCCUUCUAAUUAACAAAAGUAUGUUCAGUGCCACGUGGACACCACAUAGACGCCAAACAUUUUCCACUUCCACAAAGACUAAUAAGAUCCCUAAUAUAUAAUUUUCCCCUCAUUUCUCUGAAGAUACGAUUUCACCCAUUUCCCCUCAUUUUCGCGGCUAGGGUAAGAAACGAUUUCACAAAUUUCUUCAUUUCGCGGCUGGGUUUCGAAGUUGAUUUCGCGGCUGGAUUUUGAAGUUGAUUUCGCAACAUUAGAUGAGGAUACUGCGUGGAAGUUUGUGAAAAAGAAAGCUUUCGAUAGGGUUACAAUAAACCCAGCGAUGGUUAUAGGCAGUUUGUUGCAACCAACACUUAAUACAAGUGUUGCUGCCAUCUUACAUUUGCUAAAUGGUAUGUUUUAUCUUAAAGCAGUUAAUUUGUCUUUGAUCUCGUCAUCUGAACUGAAGAAAUUUGUGAAAUCGUUUCUUACCCUAACUGCGAAAAUGAGGGGAAAUGGGUGAAAUCGUAUCUUAAGAGAAAUGGGGGGAAAAUUAGAUAUUAGUGAUCUUAUUAGUCUAUGUGGAAGUAAGAAAUGUUUGGUGCUUAUGUGGCGUCCACGUGGCACUUAACAUAUUUCUGUUAAUUAGAAGGGUAAGUAUGACCCAAUACUUUGACGGNNNNNNNNNNNNNNNNNNNNNNNNNNNNNNNNNNNNNNNNNNNNNNNNNNNNNNNNNNNNNNNNNNNNNNNNNNNNNNNNNNNNACAGUUUUUAUAUAUAUAUAUAUAUAUAUAUUAAGAAAAAUAUUUUAUUUCAAAAGAAUUAUUAAAUUGAUCAUUUAUUAUGACAAUUUUUUUUUCCUGAGAUAAUAUCUCAAAUGGUCACUCAACUAUGAACUCUUUUUUCAGAAAGUCACUCUACUUUAAUUUUUAACUCAAAAGACACUCAAAUAUAAGUUAUUUUCUCAAAAAAUCACUCAACUAUGAGUUCUUUACUGAGAAAAGACAUAAAGUCACCACUGAAAUUGUCCCGAAUUUUCAAAAAGACACAUUAACUUUGCAUGCGACCUAUUACCCAUAAAAGUAUUAAAUACCCUUGUAAAUAGACCAUUUUGACUCAUUUCCUCAUCUAUGAAGAGGCGCGUGAUGCUCACCUUUUUGACUAUUUUAAUUAAAUUUAAAUAUUAAUAAAUGUGAGGAUAAUCCGACCCAAAUCUUAACAAAAACAAUUUCAUUUUUUAUUUUAUUUUUCAAAUGUUCUCUUCUUUUCCAUUGAAAUUUGCUCCCACCAUCCUUAAAGAAAAUCGAAAUUGCGGCUAGGUCUUCAUCUUCUUCAUCAAAUCAAAGUAUGGCGUAUCCGCGUAUGCGACGAUAAAGCUGACAGAACCAAGGCUAGAGGGGCUCGAGAGAAGAUUGAUUAGGAUCACUCUUUCUACCAAAAACGUUAAGAAUCUUGAGAAAAUGUGUACGGAUUUGGCUUAUGGUGCUAAGGACAUGAGAUUAGAGUAAAGGGACCUGUAGAAAUGCCAACUGUCAUUCCCCGAGCCUACACCCUGGACGUGGCCGGCACUCGGAGACUAUUGCUGGCCCUAAGCGAACCCUUGGCCUAGCUUUCUGAACUCAGCGGAAGACUUAAUCAACAAAAUACGCUCAAUGCAAUAGUUUAAAUGAUAACAUCUUAGCCAAAAUGACAACUUAGUCUCAAAACAAAGUAUCUACAAAUACAUAGAUGAGAGACUCAAUACUAACUGUCUGACUGUCUAUGAAGCCUCUAUAAUACUGAGAUGGAUGUUGGGACAGACCCCACAACAUCCUAAUAAAGCAAAACUAGGAAAGUGAAAUAACAGAGUCUACUGACUCUGGAGUGCUCAACUGGAUCAUCGGCGUGCUGAUUCUGAUCCUGGUUACCUGUGUCUGCAUCAUAAUAAGAUGCAGGACAACUGACAUCAAUACAUUGAAUGUACGAGUAUGCGAGUUGAAAAGCUAAACAACAACUUAAGCUUGAAAGGAGUACAAAGGAACACUUACCUUGGCUUUGUUUUAACUCGUGAACAACUUAAUUCAAUGUAAAGCAAUAAGACACAUGUAAUAUAUAUAAAGCUUGUAAAAUAGUGUAAACAACUUAGUUCGUUAAAGAUAAAGAAAUAACAAACUCAACUUUACUUAAUUAUAAAAGUAAUAUAACUUUUGUGGGAGAUUCUCUAACCGACAACCACCACUAUGAGCCUAAGUGGUGAUACAACGUCUUGCCCACGCUGCCAGAACUGUCUUAUACUUUACCGUCAUAUAGAACGCUUAACUUAGUGGAUCCACUAGUCUAUGCUAAAAACAUCUUAAGGAGUCAUCUAAAAGUAUGAUCCUUUAUUACCCAUGAUGUCUACAUGGUUUAUGGAGACUUGAGUUAAUAUGAACUCGCAUCCCCAUAUCGGUGCUCAAUACUACUCCCAAAAUAUACUUAGCUCAUACAUUUGUAAAAAACAAAACUCUUUCUUUGAAUUGAGGUAAUUACUCAAAACUUAGCUUAAAAGCUCUCUUGGAAUCGAUGUUCCCUUUCUUGCUCAAAUGUGAAAACAUUUAUAAACUCUUUGGGAAUACUUAGUCCCAUAAUAACUUUUGAGAAAUGAACUCAACUCUUUACUCUUUACUUUACUUGAAACUUGAGCCUUAAAACAAAGUUUAAACGUUUAGUAAAGACUCUUGAAAACUUCAAGAAACUUUGUUUUGACUUGCUUCUUAACUUCUAGACUUGACUCUUUAACUUCUUUGACUUUGAUCUUAAUUUUCCUUGAAUUGGAUUAUGGAUUCAAGGUUCAUGAUCUCAUGUUUACGAAUGAUUUCAUGAUGUUUAGAUGUACCUUAGAGUGUUGGAAACAACUAGAAAACAUAGGUACAUCGCUUAGGAACAAGUACGAAAAGGUGGGGAACAAAUGGGGAGAACUGGCGUCCCUGGCGCUCUGAAAGGCGCCGGGCGCCAGCCCUCAAACUUCAGAGAGGUCUGGCUGGUGCGACACGCCAGAGGCCAAACUACAGAGAAGUUUUCGUGGCGCUUUGGCUGGCGCGGCGCCCCAGCCCUUUUGCCCAGCGACUUCCGGCUUUUCUCUUCCGUUCUUCCUCUCUAAACCUCCCUAACUUCCAUAGUUCCUUCCCAAAACACUUAGGAUCGAUUGUACCCUCAAUAUAAAACCAAUCUAACUCGAAAAACAACUUGGAAACAUGAAUCAACUCACCCCCAAGCAUCAACAACUCAACCAACAAGAAUUCUACAAUUUGUUCUUCAAGAAUCUUACUUCUUCAACAUGUAAACCACUCAAAACAAUUGGAUUUAAACAAGUUGGUGUGUGGGUGAACUAACCCAACACAAAAAGAUCUCACAUACCUUAAUAGGGAUCACCCCCGACAAAUUCCACUCGCAAGAUUGGAUGAUCUUGACGAAUUCUUGCCUUUUUCUCCUUUUCUUUCUUCUUUUCUCUCUUCUCCAAGCCCUAAGCGUAUUUCUCAAUUCUCCAAACUGACUAAGUCAUGUUUUUACCCCAAUAAAUCCCUAGAAUCAAAUUAGGAAAUUAAUUAGAGAAAAAAUUACUUUGCCCUUCCCUAAAUCCGGAUUGGGACUUUCCUCAAUCCAACAACCCAACUUUCGAAAGGCAUAUCUCACUCAUACGAUGUCGAAAUUGUGCAAUCUUGGCGGUGUUGGAAAGAUCUCUCCAAGGGCUUUCCAAACAUAUCAAGAUCUGCUCCCAACUCCUCCUGAGUUAGGAGUUAUGGCCGUUUGAAAAUGGCCAAAACUCACUUUCUUAACUUGGACAAAAUUUCCAGAUUUCCUUAUUCUUUCCAAAAAUCAAUAUUUUCAUAUUUUAAACUCUUUAUAGUCGUUUCUAGGUGUGAGAUGUUGCACCAACAAAGGUUCUUAACAUUAUCCCUAGUAAGUCUUCCUAUGGAGAAUGCACAAAUACAUGGGACAAGUUUGAGCUGAGGGUUCACGAGCGCGGAUUGACCUUUUUAGCUCCCCAAAUGUUGUCAAGCAAAUCACCCCAAUCACCAUUGAGCCUGUCGAGGUUGAUGUCACCAUUGUUGAUUCCUAAAAGUACUUGUUUGAAAAAAAUCUUCUCCAACUGGGGAAGAUGAAGUAUUUAAUUAUUUAAUUAAUUAAUAAAGAAAAGAAGAUGAAGUAUUUAAUUCUUUAAUUAAUUAAUAAAGAAAACAGUUGAAAUGUGGCAUUUUUUAAUUGAUUUUUGGCAGUUAAAAUAGACCUUCACACGAUGUUAUUGGAGUGUUCACAAACAUAGUGAGAAAAUGGGUCAAAAUGAUCAUUUUACAAAGAUAUUUGCUACUUUUGUAGGGUAAUAGAACGCUUGCAAAGUUAAGGUGUCUUUUUGAAAAUCCAAAACAACUGUAAUGGUGACUUUAUGUCUUUUCUCUUCUUUACUCAAAAAGUCACUUAACUUUGAUUUUUAACUAAAAAGUCACUCAACUACGAGUGUUUACAUACAAAGUCACUCAACCAUGGGUGUUUUACUUAAUAAGUCACUCAACCUAUUCAAUUAAUUUUUUUAAAUUAAAAUCUACUUGGAUCAAAUUUUUAUUUCUAAAAAAAAAAAUUAAAAAUAAAUAAGCAUCCACUUGAACUGCCAAUUAUACUAUGCUUAAAAAAUUAUCUAACCUCGUCAGUAUACUAUGCUUAAAAAUCGUCAACAUACCAUGCUUAAAAUUUUUUCAAACUGUAUCGAUGUUCCUAUAAACACAAAUUAAACAUAGUGUAGAAAAAAAAUCAUAAAACAUACAAAAUUUAAAGGUUCUGAAAAUAAUAAAUCCUAACUAUUAAAUUUGGGGAAAAGGUAAAACAAAAGGAUCACUAUUAUAUUUUUAGCGGAUCGAGUUAAGUAGGUGGGUCAUCUUUUUACAAUUUUAGUUAGAGAUAAAAAAUUUCAUUUAAUUAAAUUUUAAUUUAAAAAAAUUAAUUGAAUAAGUUGAGUGACUUUGUAAGUACAAAACACUCAUAGUUGAGUGACUUUGUAAGUAAGAAAUUCAUAGUUGAGUGAUUUUUGAGUUAAAAAUUAAGGUUGAGUGACUUUCUGAGAAAAUAGUUCAUAAUUGAGUAGCCAUCUGAGAUAUUACCUCGUUUUUUUUCUCUUGACAACUCAUUCUCAUGUGUCAUGUUGCAUGUAGGGAAUUGGACAAGUGGCAAGGCCACUUGUCAUUGUUACAUGACAUUCUUUCCCUAUAUAUUCUUCUCAUUUUGUUCAUUAUAAUAUAUUCUCCCUCCGUCUCAUUUUAUGUGAGGUAAUUUGAUUCCGCACGGAGUUUAAGAAAGAAAGAAUUUUUUUAAAAACUUAUAGUCCAAAAUGAAUAAUAGAAAUUUGUGUGACUGUAAAUCAUUUCAUCAAGGUAACACAAAUAUUUUAUAAUUAAAUUGUUACUUCAUAUAGAAAUGUGUAGUUUUUUUUCUAAGGGAGUAACAAACAUCGAUAUGCUGCCUCUAUUUCUGAAUCCCUCGUUUAAUUAAUCAAUGUUUAUUUUAUUUCCCCAUUAAUAACUUCCUGAUGUUAAUUAAUGUGCUGAUUCCUGUAUCCUCUAUUUAAGAUAGGGGAAGUUUGUUUAAUUCCGGGGAAACAUUUCAUACCGUUGAAAUAGUUUUUUAGUACAGUUUUCAGCACGAUUCAAGUAUUAAUUUUUUGCACUAAUAUUUAUAUAUUAUCGUAAUAAUAUUUAUUUAUUCUCAAGACUACUUUUUAUUAAAUAAUAAGUUAUAUUAUUAUUGUGAAAUUUCAAUUAUUUUCCAUAUAUAUAUAUAUAUAUUCACCAUGUUUUACACUUCAAUUCACUAAUUAAUUAAGUUUGAGGUUCAAGAAAAUAAUUUUUUACACUUCGAUUUACAUAUCACAUGCGUUGUGGGGUUGAGAUUAGCUCACUAAUGAGCUUCACGACUUCACAUGUCAAUAGUGUACCAUAAAAAAGAACGCCAUGCAAUAGAUAAAUUGCUUCUUUAUUAAAAAAAUAAAUAAUUUCAAUUUAAAUUUUAAAUAUAAAAAAAGGAAAAAAAAAAUUGGCCAUAAUUUGGCCAGAAUGAAAAAAAGACAUGUUCACACUAUAAACUAGUUUAUUUUUGGACAUUUUUACCCUUUAACUUAAAUAUUAAAUAUAUUCUUCAAUUAUGUUUCCAAUACAUUGAAAAUGAUUAAUGAGAUUAAUUAUUGAUGAUUUCAUAGUUAAACAUGGGAAAGGAACCAAAAAAUUCACCAAAGAAAACAUAAGUCUCACCCCUCUCUCUCUCUAUAUAUAUAUAUAUAUAUUACAGUAGUAGUAAAAAAAUAUAUCUCUUCUUCAAUUUCAAUUUUUCCCCGUUUUACUUAUUUUUUUUGUUUUUUUAUUUUCCAUUUCUUAUUUCUUAUUGAUAAGAAAUUUUUUGAAAAGUAUAAAAGAGAGUAAAGUGUAGAUUAUCUAUUUAAAUUUAUAAUUUCUAAUCGUGAAAAGAUAAUUUAUAUCUAAAUUUAAAUAUUAAAAAUUUAUAUCAACAACACUCAAAAAUAAAAUCUGAAAUGGACCCAGUUGUCUAAACAAUUACUCUUAUUUAUUUAAAGGAGUUGUUGUUACGCAUUGAUUUGCUAGAAAAAAAUUAGUGAUAAAAUAUAUUUUAUCCAAUUAUACUCAAAAUGUAUGUGAAUAAAAUAUGUAGAAAACUCAAAUUACCAUCAUGUUUCCUCUUAUGUGAUUGUCUUCAUAUCUUCGAUUGCAUAUGAAUCACAUUAUACACAAAUAAAGACUCAUUAGAAUUAAUUUUUAUUUAUUAUUUUAGUACUAGAGACGUAUACAAAUUUUUUUUGGAUGAAAACGUUGAUGGUGCUUUAUUGAAAAAUUAUAAUAACACGGAAAGGAUAUAGAAAGUUCUUUAUGAUUUCAAAAUAACUUUUAUAAAAAAAAUUGAAAGAAAAACAUCUUCAUAGUUCUCCGAUGAUAAUCACAACACAAAUUUGUUAAGCAUAAACUAGAUUAAAGUUUCAUCACAUAUAUAUUUUUCUUUAUUAGUAUUAUUUGUUGUUUUAUAAAAAAAAUGUUUGUUAUUAAAUGAUAUGCUAAAAUAUUAAGUAUACAUAGUUGUAGUCACAAUAUUAUUAUUUAUUUUUUUGUUCUCAAAUUAAUAUUUGUUUCAAACUGAUUAAGAACUUAUAAAAUUAAGUAAUUUUAUUGAAUUUAUUAUAUAAAUAAAUUUAAAUUACCUAUUUAAAUAAUUAUUUAAAUUACAUUUUAAAUAAUUUUAUAUAUAUAAUGUAAAAUAGUUCAAUAAUAACAAUCAAAACUUAAAAUACUUUAGAAUUGGUAGAUAUCAACACAUUAAAGAAAUACUAAAAUCAUAUGGUUCAUAAGUGUAGAUCCUAUUUAACAAUAACCCAAGAUAGUUACACAUUAAUGUUGUAAUAUUGCAUAUUUGUUAAUUAUUAUGUUUUGAAAAAUUAAACUACAUAUUUAAAUUUUAUGUUUGGUUAUUAUGUUUUAAAAAAUUAAACUACGUAUUUACAACUACAUAUUUAAAAAUUAAACUACAUAUUUAAAAAAUUAAACUACAUAUUAAUAAAUUUUUGAUGUAUUUCUAUAAUGUGCCGAUGUCUAUCAAUUCUUAAGUAUUUUGAGUUUUGAUUAUCGUUAUUGAAAUAUUAAAAUUUUACAUUAAUGAAAAUAAUUUAAAAUAUAUAUUUAUCCUAGUUAUGUUAUACUUUAUUUAUACACAUUAAACAUAUUGUAAUUUAUUAUAUACAUAAAAUGCAUCUAUUUUAAAGUAUUAUAAUUGAUAAGUACGUAUUGAGUGAUCUUUUAUUCAUUUGUUUUGAAAUAUCCACUUAAUUAAUAUUAUUGGAAUAACUGGAUUUUUAUUCAUGGUUAAAAUUAGUGAAAUAAUUUCACCAUUUUCUAUAUAUGUUACUUCUUGUGUGGAAUGAUUAUAAUAUAAAAAUUAAUGUAUUAUUUAUGGCAUAGUUAUAUAUGUCUUAUCAUCAAUUAUUUUUAGAAAUAUCCAAAUUUCAAAAUAAUUUUUUCUCUUGAAAAACAUCCAUUAUAUAGACUAAUCUAUUUAGUUGAUUAUAUUUAAAGAAAAAUUUAAUUAAACUCUUUUAAUCUACACUUAAUUACUAUAUUUUACUAAUUUUGAAUUACAAAAUAAUUAAGUAUAAUCUUAAGUAGAUAAGAUAGUCAUUUGUAGUUUAUUUUAAGCGAAAAAUUACAAAAAUAUUUUUUUAACUAAAGCGUACAAUUUUUUUAUUAACUAAACAAUAUUUAUUUUUAAAAAUAAAUCGGAUAAACUAUACACACACAAAAAAACAUACACAAAAACAUUUUUUCAUUUUCCUUGGCAGCCAAAUAGUUUGUGUUUUAGUAGUUCAAGGAGUUUGGGAAAUAUAAAAAAUGUUAGUUUUGUUUGGAGGGAAAAGUAUUGAGGAAAUAAAUGUAAAAAUUAAAACAAAGAUAUUAUAUUUCUGGCCAAAUUCUGGCCAAAUAUUUCUCUUUUUGAGUCGAGCUUUACCGUCCACGCAAUAUCCCACGAGCCCCAAAUCCCGCAGACAACUCAUCCUACGCGUUCCCCAACCCACGCCUAAAAAAAUUCUGGCACGACGCCCUUUCUCCUUCACUCUAUAUAUUCCUCCUACACUUGCGGACUUUUCUCUAAAUCUACAAAACAGAGUCAUUUUACUUUCUGAAAAAAAAAUAAAUAUAUAUAUAUAUAUAUACACAUUUGUUGCCUGCCACCAUGGGAAGUGAAGGUGAUUGCAAGACUAAUCAAAGGAAACCCAGAUUUCUUUGCCUUCAUGGAUUUCGAACGAGUGGAGCAAUUUUGAAGAAGCAAAUAUUUGAUAAAUGGCCAACUCAAGUGGUGGAUAAAUUGGAUCUAGUUUUUGUUGAUGCGCCUUUUCCAUCUCAAGGCAAAUCUGAAGUUGAAGGCAUCUUUGACCCUCCCUAUUACGAGUGGUUCCAAUUCAAUAAGGUCGCUUCCUUUUUUCAGUAUUAAAAUUCCAUCACAUACCUCUUCCUUCGAUUUCGAUCUAACAACUAAUUGUUGUUGUUUUUCAAUACAGGAAUUUACAGAGUAUGAGAAUUUUGAUAAAUGUCUUGAAUACAUUGAAGAAUGUAUGAUUAAGCAUGGGCCUUUCGAUGGUCUUCUUGGUUUCUCUCAGGUAAUUCAAGUUGUUUUUUUUUUUUAAUCUUUAUUCGUUAUUGGAUUGGUUAUAAAUUUGGUUCAAUGUUUUUUGCAUGUACUUUGGAAGUAUUUGAUUUUUUUAAAAAGGUCUGUUAUUUACGUCAAAAAUAAUUUUUUUCUAUGAAAACAAUUGUUUUUUUUAAAGCAAAAAGACAUAAUUUAGACUAUUUCCGGUUAAAGGUGGAAUACAAUUAUUUAUUUGAGGUUGAUGCUUUUUUAAAAAAAGAUACUACUAUAAUAAUUAUUUCUUCUCUGCAUUUGUUGACUCUUUUAAGUACUUUUCUCUUUUUGUUUUUUCACAUUUCAAAUUUAUGAUGUAUUACAAUUUGAUUUUGAGUAUCUCUGUCUUUUGAUACAAUUCAGGGGGCAAUUCUUUCCGGAGGAUUGUCCGGGUUGCAGGCUAAGGUACACACUACGCGAUAAAUUAAAUUUUUGUUUAGUUCUGUGUGUGAAAUGAAAAAUAUCAAAAUUCAAAUCGUAAUGUCAUAAUUAUUCGUGUUCAAUUAAAUUUUUCAUGAUAAUUGAUGAUUACAUGGUGUGAUAUUGGCAGGAAGUGGGAUUUACAAAGGUUCCAAAAAUAAAAAAUCUGAUAAUAAUUGGAGGUGCUAAAUUUCAGAAUAAAUCUGUGGCCGAAAAGGCUUAUUCAUCAGCAAUUACAUGCCCUUCCCUUCAUUUUUUAGGUAUUUUUCUGUUCCUGCAAAAAAAUUCAACACGUUGUAUUGUUGCUCUUUGGCUAUUUUACAGUACACGUAGUAUGAUUCUUUUUUAUUUAUUUCAUAACGUUUUGUGCAAAUUGAACAACACAUUAUUUUGUUUCUUUUAAAACGUUUGUUUUAUAAACUAGGACAAGUCAACUAUAGAUUCUGGUCAAUUUGGGCUGACUCGAUUAAAUUGAAUUUGUUAAGAAAUUUCACGGAAGGAUGCAAAUUAAGUACUAUAGUAUUUGUUAAAUAAAUAAAGGCAUGUCGAGAAACACAAUGUAUAGUUCCAACUUAUUAGAUCGAUAAAUACGUCAAUAUUGGUUAUUGUUGGGAGGAAUAUUUAGAGGAUAUGCCUUGAUAUAUAUAAAGGAUUUUUUAGACAAGAGGAGUUGUUUGAUAGAUGGUAUAAGGUAUAUCAAUCUCUAAAUAUUUCACAUUUCCUUUGUGAAUAUCAAUUAAUCUCAAGAAUUAGUUAUUCUAUUUAAAAAAUAGAUAGUUAAUUGUGUGAGACAUUCCAACCGUCAUCCAGUCACCAAACAACUCCUAAAUUCUUGUUUCAUAACUAAUUGCAGUUAUGAGUUGUUUCAAUUGACUUAUUAAACUAUAGCAUAAGCUAGAAAAUCCAAACUUAUGACUUCAACAUGCCUAUUUUUAGGAGGGGGUGAGGGGUCCAGCUGCUAAACUUCAACAUGUUAUUAUCGCAACAUGUAUCCAAAGCUUCUAAUUUUCUUAAAUGUGUUUUAAUAUGUUAUAGCAGGUGGUAUGCUUUAUUUUCAGGGCGAUUAGUUAUAUUUGUUAUGAAUAAUUAUCUAUAAUAACUUUUAAGUGAUCUAACAAUGAUAAAAUCUUACUUUUCACACUUUGAAGAUGAAUUAUUUUUUUUAAAAAAAUAUACAAUAUUAAUUACUGGUUAUUAAUUGAUCAUUAUAGGUGAGAAAGAUUACCUAAAGAAGUAUGGGAUAGAACUGUUGGAAUCAUGUGUUGAUCCAGUGGUGAUUCAUCAUCCUAGGGGCCACACUAUACCAAGAUUUGGUAAACUUCUUUAACUUUUUUAUUAAUUUAACUUCAUUUAAUUCUGUGUUGUUAAUUAAUUCUUCUUCUUUUUUCAGAUGAGAAAGGAUUAGAGAGUAUGCUUAGUUUCAUUGAGAAGGUGCAAGCAGAGAUUAACAAGUGAACAAGUUUGAUAAUUUUUUUAAUUUUUUUUGUGGUAGUCCCUCGUUUGGGACAUAUAAUUUCUACUUUUUUUUUUAAUAAAUAAAAUAGUACCGAACUUAUUAGAAAGGUUACAGAAGUAUGGCCAUGCUAUUGUAUUUACGGCAGUUUGCCAUUCUAUUAUAUUUAAAUAGGCUUAAAUCAUCGACUGCCCCUUAAAGUUAUCCACAUAAUUCACUUAGAUACUUCAAUUAAAAUUAGUAUUUAUUGAAUACUUUUACCUAUUUAAAAAUUAUUUUUAUUAGGCAUUUUUUUAAGAGAAACUUUCACAUAUAGCAAACAAAAAAAUCAUAUUUGUAUGCUAUAGCAAAGUUUGCAUAAUUGCGCUCCAUAGCAAACAUAUAUAUGCAUAAUUCGCUAUACAUAUAUACAAAAAGAAUCAAUUGUAUAAUUCGUUGGCUCCUCUUCAGAAUUGUAUAAUUUCGCUGGCAGGCCAUUUGUAUAAAUUGUUGUUAGCCUCUCGUUUGNNNNNNNNNNNNNNNNNNNNNNNNNNNNNNNNNNNNNNNNNNNNNNNNNNNNNNNNNNNNNNNNNNNNNNNNNNNNNNNNNNNNNNNNNNNNNNNNNNNNNNNNNNNNNNNNNNNNNNNNNNNNNNNNNNNNNNNNNNNNNNNNNNNNNNNNNNNNNNNNNNNNNNNNNNNNNNNNNNNNNNNNNNNNNNNNNNNNNNNNNNNNNNNNNNNNNNNNNNNNNNNNNNNNNNNNNNNNNNNNNNNNNNNNNNNNNNNNNNNNNNNNNNNNNNNNNNNNNNNNNNNNNNNNNNNNNNNNNNNNNNNNNNNNNNNNNNNNNNNNNNNNNNNNNNNNNNNNNNNNNNNNNNNNNNNNNNNNNNNNNNNNNNNNNNNNNNNNNNNNNNNNNNNNNNNCGCUUUAUACAAACAGAAACGCAAUUUAUACACUUCUGUGUAUAAAGCGAGAGGCGAGCACAGAGAGAGUGAGCGAGAGAGGAGAGUGGCGAGCGAGAGUUUGAGGGAGAGAGGCGCUGACAAACAGUUUGCUACAGGACACAAUUAAAUCAAAGUGUGAUUAUACCAUUUAAUUUGAAUUAAUAGUUUGCCAUUAUGUACAAUUUUCUCUUUUUUUUAUAAUGAGCAAAUUAAAAAAUAACAUGUGGCACCGGGCCCCCAAAAUUAUUUUAAAAAAUAAUUUUUUAUUUAAAAUUAUUUCAAACACAUUUUAUAUCUAAUUUUUUAAAAAAUAAAAAAAAUAAAUAAAAAUGUCAGCCUAUUCUACCCAACCUCCUUUUAUCUUCAUCUUCUUUUCAAAUCACAUUCUUUUUCAAAUUACAAAACAUAAUUUCUUUUCAAAUAACUUGAAAGAUUAACUUUUUAAAAAAUAUAUAUUUUCAUACUAAGAUUGAAGAAGAAGGAAAAUUUUGCCGCGGUUAUUUAUCUCUACAUUGAUCACAAAAAGAAAUUGAUAGCUCAAAAAUUAAUUCUUACGAAUUUUCAAAUAUCAUUUUUAAUAAAUUUAAUGGCUUUAUAUUUGAAUUUGAGUAAACAUAUUUGUUCGAAAAUUGUGAUAAUAAAUAUUGGCUAACUUCUUUUAUACGUAAAAAUCAUUUAUCUUCUUUCUUCUUCAUAUUUAUUCCAUUAUUUUUAUGAGAUUUGAAAUAAAUUGUACGAAAGAAAGUCUUUCUUUCAAAUCUGAAUUGUAUGAUUUCUUCCUAGUUGAUUUUCAUUUAUUUUCAGAUUUGGAAGAAAUUAUAUUCUUUUUUUUAUAAAAAGAAAGAAAAACAAUGUUGGAACUAAAAUGGAGAAAGUCUUGCAAAUUAAAUUAUGAAGAAUAUGACUGGUAGGGGGUGGGGUGCUUUUCUUUUUUGAAAAAACGCGUAAAUGAAAGAAGAAAAAAAAUUAUUUUAAGUUAAUUAUAGUGUCAAUAAAAAAAAAAGAAAAAAUGUAAAAAAAAAACACUAUUACGAAUCUUUUCACGCGCUUCAGUGAAGUGCAAAACACAUUUUUUGUCAUAUCAGUGUUUUGUGUUUAGUAGUUACAUGUUUUGAACAAUUUAAAUAUUCAAUAGGUACAAGUCUUAAUUAAGGUAUCUAAAUGAAUUAUGCGAACAACUUUAAGGGACUAUCAAUAACUUUUAAGUCAUUUAAAAAUCUUUUAUCAGUUCAAACUUUUAGAAAUUUGUAGUUUAAGCUAUAUGAGAAAUUUAUGAAGUCAGAACUUCAUAUUGAAGAAGCCUUUUGCUGUGUCAAACCAAUUCAUGCGAACACAGGUAUGUGUGCACCAUCAACGAUUAAUGCACGUUAGUUAAAGUAUGUACUUAAUAUCAAUUUAUAUGAUAAUUUUUUAAAUAUAAAAUUAAUGUGUUAAUAUAUAAAUAUAAAUUAAAUAACUCUAUUAGAUAAAAUUUGCUUGGAUUGAAAUUUUAAAAUAUGUUUGCAAUAGUUUUUGGAAACAUAAAUUUUCAUUUUCAUUUUGAAAAACAUCAAACAUAAUUUAUAUCCAUAAGUUUGAAAAAUUAUAUUAAAAAAAUAAUAUAAGUUUGAUAUGAAUUUAUCAUUUUUAUAACAUGAUAUUCCAAUAAAUAUUGUUAAUAAAUAAUAACAUAAUUACUAGUUACUACAAUUCGUUAAAAGACAAAUAAUAACAUCAAUGGUAACUAAUUACUAUUCUUUUAUACAAUAUUUCCACAUUUAAAACAAUUUCUUCAGGACAAAUAUACAUUUUUUCAGAUCAGACAACUCAAAAGAUAGAUGGGAAUUAAUUGGAGUCAUAAAUAAAUAAAAUUAUUUUAUAUAAAAUAUUAAAUUUUGGAAUAACUUUUAAACUUAAAAAAUGAUAUUUUGACCCAAAGAUUUUGAAAUCUGAUUUUAAAAAAUUAAACAAAUUCGAUACUACUGUACUAUUUACCAAAUUUUUUUCUCAAAAAUGAAUAUCCAUCAGCAGACAUCAAAUUAUCCAGAUUUCUUUGCCUUCAUGAGUGGAGCGAUUCUGAAGAAGCAAAUAUUUGAUAAAUGGCCAAUUCAAGUUGGAUCUUGUUUUUGCUGAUGCACCUUUCCCCUCUCAAGGCAAAUCUGAUGUCGACGCCCUCCUUAUUAUGAAUGGUACUAGUUAGUUCAAUAAGGUUGCACAUCUAAUUACUUUUUAACAAGAAAAUUAUAAUGUUCUUUAUUUUAUUUUAUAAUUGUUGUUGUUUUGAAAUACAGGAAUUAAAACAAUAUGAUAAUUUUGAUAAAUGUCUUGCAUACAUACAAGACUGUAUGAUUAAGCAUGGACCUUUCGACGGUCUUCUUGGUUUCUCCCAGGUAUUUUUUUCUCCUUAUUAUCUUGAUUGGAUAUAAAUUUGGUACAAUGAUAUUGAUUUUGUUUGAUAUAAUUUUUUAUAUCAGUCAUUUGUGUAACAAUAAGGUAUAUAUGAGUCGCAAUAAGUUUUGUAGCACGGACAAAAUUGAGGGCUUUCCCCUUUCAAAUUUGUAAUUUUGUAGGAAGUUUGCACAAUAUGAUUCUGAAUAUUAUCUGCCUUUUGAUACAAUUCAGGGGGCACUAAUUUCUGCAGGGUUGCAGGAUACCAUUGAAGCAAUCCACCCUUGUUACUUCUGAUGCUUAUUUUGGUGUGUUAAUUGACAGGGAGUGGGACUUCGAAGGUUCCCAAAAUAAAAUAUCUGAUAAUAAUUGGAGGUGCAAAAUUGCAGAUUAAACCACUGGGCAAUUACAUGCCCUUCCAUUCACUUCUCUCCUUACAAAUUAUCAAACACUUUGUGUAUAUGUUUCAGGGCUAACUUCGUUACGAACAAAUAUUCUAUAUUUUAAAAUCAAACACUUGCGAGUUGCGACCUCUGUAUUAUUCACCGGCUAUUAUAGGUGAGCGAGACUUUCUAAAGACGCAUGGGAUGGAACUUUUGGAAUCUUAACAAUUUUAUUAAUUCAACAACUUCUCGGACUCUUCUAAUUUGUGUGUCCGACACAGGUGCAGCGGCAAUCCGGGCAUUGGCAACUUAGAUUUUCUGUGUAGCCCUUGUUGUUUAACAAAAAUGACAAAUACCAUCCUCUUUUGUUUUUCUCCUUCAGAUGAGAAAGGAUUAGAGAGCAUGCUUAUUGCUUAGUUUCAUUGAGAAGGUGCAAGCAGAGAUUAGUACAAGUUUGAUAAAAUUAUGUUUUUUCAUGCCAGUUCCUCAUUCUGGAAAUAAUUCUUAAAAGUUAAAUCGCUCCUAAUAAUUAUCUAUGACAUUCAAGGGGGGUGUUAUAAAUUCAUUGAAUUAGUGGAUUGUCUAUAUUCUCAGUAGAUAAACUACUUGCAUUCAUGUAUGUAUAUUCUCUAGGUUUUAUGACGCUUAACAUAGUGAUUUUUCAACCUAUAAGUAGGAUUGUUCUGUCACUAUUCCAUGAGACACUUGAACACAUUUGAAUAAACGAUCUCCACAUUAUACUCUCCUUAUUGUUUAUAUUUCUAGUAGUAUAUUGCUUAUAUUUUACAACAUGAUCAUAGUUUUCACUUUUUUUAUAAAAAAAAUAAAAUGAAACAUGACUUGACUCAUAAGGUUUAAAAACUAUAAAAGAAAAUAUUCAUAAAUUUGGUACAAAAUAUAAUGAACUAGAUAAUACAUCAUCCUAAUAUCAUGACAUGAUAUUUAAUAAAAAAAAUUACUAAGGACAUAAUUACUAGCUACUCUAAUUCGUUAAAUUGCAAUUAGUUACAAACAUCCAUCCGUGUAAAAAGACAAAUAUAACUACUAUUCUUUAAUACUCCAUAUAAUAUUUUGAACUUGAAAAAGAAAUCAAUAUUAUAUUUUGCCCCAGUUUUUGAAAUCUAUUUUCAGAAAACUAGACAUAUUGUAUGAGUAAGCAGAUACUGUACUAUUUACCCAAAAUUUUCUCAAAAAGUAGCUCCAAAAUGUAUGGCCAAACAAUGAAGAAUAUCCAUCAGCAGACAAAUUCAGCCGCCACCAUGGCAGGUGAAGGAGCUGCCAACGCCAAUCAGAGGAAAUUGCCCAGAUUUCUUUGCCUUCAUGGGUUUCGAACGAGUGGAGCAAUUCUGAAGAAGCAAAUAUUUGAUAAAUGGCCAAUUCAAGUUGUGAACAAAUUGGAUCUAGUUUUUGUUGAUGCGCCAUUUCCAUCUCAAGGCAAAUCUGAAGUUGAAGGCAUCUUUGACCCUCCUUAUUAUGAAUGGUACCAGUUCAAUA